UGAGCAAUCUGCCCUUCUCUUCGGAAUAAGCGUUGGAAACGACGUCUAAUGCCGAAUACGACCUCCUUUCGCAUGAUCGGAGGUGGAAAGCUCCGGCGGAGAAGGAUGAGCUCGCGGCCUAUCAGCUAGUUGGUGUGGGUAACGGCCCACCAAGGCGACGACGGGUAGCCGGCCUGAGAGGGUGACCGGCCACACUGGGACUGAGACACGGCCCAGACUCCUACGGGAGCAGCAGG
rnacentral:rRNA from 1 species